AAUGAACGUUGGCGGCAUGGAUUAGGCAUGCAAGUCGAGCGAGAAGUUCCCUUCGGGGGAUGGAAAGCGGCGAAAGGGAGAGUAACGCGUAGAUAUCUGCCCUCAGGUCUGGGAUAGCCAUCGGAAACGGUGAUUAAUACCAGAUAAUGUCUCAGGACCAAAGAUUUAUUGCCUGAGGAGGAGUCUGCGUCCUACUAGCUUGUUGGUGUGGUAAUGGCGCACCAAGGCGACGAUGGGUAGCGGGCGUGAGAGCGUGGCCCGUCUCACUGGGACUGAGAUACUGCCCAGACAUCUACGGAUGGCUGCAGUCGAGAAUCUUCGGCAAUGGACGAAAGUCUGACCGAGCAAUGCCGCGUGCGGGACGAAGGCCCUCGGGUCGUAAACCGCUGUCAGAGGGAAGGAAAUUUUGACUAAACCUCAAAGGAAGCACAGGCUAAAUUCG
rnacentral:rRNA from 1 species